rnacentral:tRNA from 1 species
GCCGGGGUGGCGGAACAGGUAGACGCACGGGACUUAAAAUCCUGGGGUAGGAGCCUACCGUGCCGGUUCAAGUCCGGUCCCCGGCA